GGCUUCGUGGUCGAGUGGUGAGGACACUUGCCUGUCACCCUAGAAUCCCGGAUUCGAUCCCGGGUCGAGGAGCUA